rnacentral:misc_RNA from 1 species
GUUAAAGCGAGUUCUUCCUUGCUAAAAGAAUAUGGUUGCAUAUAAGUACAAGUUACAAUCAAAUCUGGCAUUUUUCCUGCUUUCUCAAUAUCCUAGUUUGCAAUGGACCCAUCCUUAACAUUAACAAUAUAGUAGAGGAAUUAAUAAUGAUCAAAUAUAAAGACAACAUCCUGAAUCCUGAUCAUUGCUUCAAAAAUGAGAGCAGAGGAAUGAAACAGUUGGUAUAGAUGAUUUAUGAGACAACAGCCAUCUUGACAUGAGCUUCAAGAUUAAAUAAAUUUCUUCCACUGAAAACAUGAAUACGUACUGUAUACAGGUAAUAAUCAAAACUGAUCCCACAAGAAUCUAGUGGAGGAUCUUCACUGCAGUUGCAUGAGUUAGAAAGUACAGUAGUAAUAACUAUUUUCCAACGUCUUACUUGUUAAUUGGAUAUUUAGGCAUGUGCAAGAUGACACUUUCGAUUCAACUUUGAUUCAUAAAAACCAAUGGUCACAUUUCUGACACUAACUUGAGGCGGCAAUUUGAAGCCCUACAAUCAAAAUGCACUUUUUCCAUGUUUAAUGCCACCAAGCUGGAGUCACAGAUUCAGAACAGGAGGCCCAAAAAUCUCUAAAAACCACAUCAAUCGAUUUGGAAUCUAAGAUUACACAUUUAAGUUCCUCAAGCUUGCCCUUCCAGGAUAAAAAAUAUGAACAAGCUUGCUUUUUUUUUUUUUUCGUUUUCCCAAUUCCUUCUGAUUCUGGACAGACAAAUGGGGUCAUUGAGGUGGUGCCAAGAGAUCCUACCUAUUAUGAGAUAUCCAACUACGACCAGGUAUUUUCCUAAACCCUCUCUCCCUCAUUUUGUCCCUAACAAUAGCAAAAUCCUGCCACUGCUCUGCUGCAGCAUAUAUGCUCGACAAAAGCACAUAAGAACCGGAAUUUUUGGGUUCAAGCUCAAACAAUCGCCUAGCAACAACUUCCCCCAACUCAACCUCGCCAUACAGCUUACAAGCUCCGAGAAGUGCACCCCAAGCACUUGCAUGAGGUUCCACAGGCAUCGAAUUUAGAAGCUCAAAAGCUGCUUUUAGCUGUCCUGAUCGGCUAAGAAGAUCAACCAUACAUGCGUAGUGGUCAGGGGAGGGAACAAUAGAAUACUUAUUUUUCAUGGUUUCAAAAUAGUGACUACCCUCUUUAACAAGCCCCCCUCGGCUGCAAGCUGCCAAAAUGACAGUAAAUGCCGCCUCAUCAGGAAUUAAUCUCUCAUUUAGCAUCCUAUUGAAUAAUCCAACGGCCUCUUCGGCACACCCAUGAAUGGACAAUCCUUGUAUCAUAGAACAAUAUGAAAUCAGAUCUCGUUUAGGCAUCUCUUCAAACAACUUUUUUGCUCUAUCCAUGUUCCCACACUUGGCAUUCAUGUCAAUAAGGGCAGCAAUAACGUGAGUCUGACCUUUAUCAAUCGAGCUUUGGCACAAAUAACAAUCAACCCAUUUCGCAAAAUCCAAACUUCCCACUUGAGCACAAACCGACAUCAAGCUCACCAUUAUAUACUCAUCAGGCUUCACAUUCAUCGACUCCAUUUCAAGAAAUAUCUUCACAGCCUCAUUAGGCUGCCCAUUUUGAGCAUAUCCUGAAAUCAAAGCCCCCCAAGCAAUGAUAUCUCUCUCCGGAGAUUUCUCAAACAAAGCCCUCGCAGAUGCCAUAUCCCCCACCUUCGCAUACCCGUCAAUCAAAACAGUAAAAGAAACAACAUUCCUCUCAGGCAUUUCAUCAAACAAUUUCCUAGCAGUACGCAAAUCUCCUGCUUUCACCAACCCACCAAUCAUAGCAUUCCACGACGUUAAAUUCCUCUCCGGCAUUUGAACAAACAUUCUCGUCGCGUUAUCCAUAUCCCCAACAUUCGCAUACCCAACGACUAUUGCCGUCCAAGAAACCACGUUCCUCUCAGUCAUCUCAUCGAACGCCUUUCUUGCAGAAAAUAUUUCCUUGCAUUUUCCAUAAAAAUCUACCAAACUAGACCCAACAUAUAUAUCGUCACUAACCCCACAUCUUAUUGCCGAGCCAUGAAAUAUUUCACCUUCCUUUAAUCUGCACUCAUUCGAACACGACCUUAUAAGAGAAGGAUACGUGUACUUGUCCGGCCAUGCGUAUUCACUCCGCUUCAUGCGGAUAAAGAGAGAUAACGUAUCGUCAAAAUGAGACUUGUGGGAGUAGAUUUUGAGAAGGAUGUUGUAGGGGAGAGUGGAGGGAGUGAGAAGGCGAUCAAAAAUGGAUAAGGCAUAGGAAACAGAAUUGGAGCGGUUGAGAAGGUAGGAAACGAGAAAGUGAUCUUGCUCGAGUCCUUUGCGGAUUAUGAGAGCGUGCAACUGGUAGAGGUGGCCGAUAGUUUUGCAAGAAUUGAUGAGAGUACGGAUUGAAGCGUUAGAAGGAGAUUUUAAAGGCAUGGAUUUUGCAGGAAAAAGGAUUCAUGGCUGCUCUGCUGGUUUUAUUUGGGGUUUCUGAGAGGAGA